rnacentral:rRNA from 1 species
GAUUAACGCUGGCGGCGUGCCUAACACACGCAAGUCGAGCGGCAGCGAGUUUUACACUGAAUUCUGGAAGCUUCUAGUUGAAAGAGAAGAUUUAUUCAAGAAUUUUGUGUAAAAUGUCGGCGAGCGGCGGACGGCUGAGUAACGCGUGGGAACGUACCCCAAAGUGAGGGAUAACGCAUCGAAAGGUGUGCUAAUACCGCAUAUGGUCUUCGGAUUAAAGCCUUCGGGCGCUUUGGGAACGGCCUGCGUAAGAUUAGAUAGUUGGUGGGGUAAUGGCCUACCAAGUCGACGAUCUUUAACUGGUUUGAGAGGAUGAUCAGUCAGACUGGAACUGAGACACGGUCCAGACUCCUACGGGAGGCAGCAGUGAGGAAUCUUCCACAAUGGGCGAAAGCCUGAUGGAGCAACGCCGCGUGCAGGAUGAAGGCCUUCGGGUUGUAAACUGCUUUUAUAAGUGAGGAUUAUGACAGUAACUUAUGAAUAAGGAUCGGCUAACUACGUG